UACGUAGGCAGCAAGCGUUGUUCGGAGUUACUGGGCGUAAAGGGUGCGUAGGCGGCUUCUUAAGUCUGAUGUGAAAGCCCACGGCUCAACCGUGGAGGGUCAUUGGAAACUGGGGAACUUGAGUGCAGAAGAGGAAAGUGGAAUUCCAAGUGUAGCGGUGAAAUGCGUAGAGAUUGGGAGGAACACCAGUGGCGAAGGCGGCUCACUGGACCGGUACUGACGCUGAUGCGCGAAAGCGUGGGGAGCAAACGGG
rnacentral:rRNA from 1 species